AUUGAACGCUGGCGGCAGGCCUAACACAUGCAAGUCGAGCGAGCGGCGGACGGGUGAGUAAUGUAUGGGGACCUGCCCGAUAGAGGGGGAUAACUACUGGAAACGGUAGCUAAUACCGCAUACUAUCGGAUGUACCCAGAUGGGAUUAGCUAGUUGGUGGGGUAAAGGCUCACCAAGGCAACGAUCCGUAGCUGGUGUGAGAGGACGAUCAGUCACACUGGGACUGAGACACGGCCCAGACUCCUACGGGAGGCAGCAGUGGGGAAUUUUGGACAAUGGGCGAAACCCUGAUCCAGCCAUCCCGCGUGUAUGAUGAAGGCCUUCGGGUUGUAAAGUACUUUUAGCAGGGAAGCGGUAUCUACAGAAUAAGCACCGGCUAACUACGUGCCAGCCGCCGCGGUAAUAC
rnacentral:rRNA from 1 species